UGGGGAAUAUUGCACAAUGGAGGAAACUCUGAUGCAGCGACGCCGCGUGAGGGAAGAAGGUUUUCGGAUUGUAAACCUCUGUCCCGAGGGACGAUAAUGACGGUACCUCGGGAGGAAGCCACGGCUAACUACGUGCCAGCAGCCGCGGUAAAACGUAGGUGGCAAGCGUUGUCCGGAAUUACUGGGUGUAAAGGGAGCGUAGGUGGGCGCGCAAGUCUAAUGUGAAAUCUAUGGGCUCAACCCAUAAAUUGCGUUGGAUACUGUGCGUCUUGAGUGAAGUAGAGGCAGGCGGAAUUCCCGGUGUAGCGGUGGAAUGCGUAGAUAUCGGGAGGAACACCAGUGGCGAAGGCGGCCUGCUGGGCUUUUACUGACACUGAGGCUCGAAAGCGUGGGGAGCAAACA
rnacentral:rRNA from 1 species